GGUUCUAGGGGGAGCUGCGAUUUAGCUUGGUGACUGCACCACUGAGAUGAUCCCUGGGGAAUUCUGCAGAGGACAGGGAAGGCUGUAAAUGGGUGAACAGUGCGCUGCUGUUCAGAAACAGGCAGGAGGCAGAGGAGGUGGGAGAGAGUCCAGCAUGGGGUGUCAACAGGAUGAUUUGAGAAGGGGAGGCUGUGAUCGCCAGGAGUCAGCAGGGGCUCGGUGAGAAAACUCGGGCUGACCUAGUUUCUCUGGCUGCCAGUAUCACCAGAGAAAUGCAAAGAGGAGGGAGUCUCCAGGACCUGGUUCAAGUGCUGGCAGUGGUUCUUCUGACCCUCCCGAGACAAAGUGUAAAAAGGUGGGUUGGAUGAAAAGCAGGACGAGGUGGUGAAUCCACAGCUGCCUGAAUAAAUCCGCCCACCGGCUUGCAGAGCUGCAGAUCGAUGGCGAGAUGUCAAUGCUCAGAGGGGUUGUCUUUUCAGAGGUGUUCCUCAGCACUCUCUUCUUGUGCCUGAAUGGGCCCGGAGUCUUGUCAGUGGCUUGAAGCCGGUGUGGAAGGAAGAGGUAAGUCAUGAGUCAAACGUAGGUUUGGGAAGGAGCGUGAAGACAGCGGAACCCCAAAUCAGGAUCUAGAAAGGCCCGACGAAUCAGAGUGCGAGGCCAGAUUCUGCAAAAUGGAACUUAACUUGGGUCCCUCAAAAGAACUGUGCAGGCACGGAGUGAGGGACUACAAAUUUCAGGGGCCAGAAUUUCUACGCGAUGCCGUGUGGCAGUCAAAAACUCCCACUUGAUUCAACAUCCACAUCUAGCAGACACGAGGCCAUGGUCAUUCUGCUCUGCACCCGCCUAGGCAUACCCUGGGAUGUGCCAUUACAUUGUGGGGUACAUGGCGGGAGAAGGCGAGGAUGAUAAGGGACAGUUCAAGAACCAAAGGCUCGCCUGAAAAACCUAAGUCUCAGAGAAUACUCGAAAGGCAGUUUCCAGAAGAGGCGUCAUUUGGAAGUACAUGCGAACUUAUUUUCUAGAAGAAAUAAGCGGUGGGUUUGGUAGAUGGUGUUUCCUCAGAUGGUCACCAUGCUCUCUCUCAUUUCACAUGUUUUUUCACGCUAUGAUCUUGCCACUCUUUAACAAAGACAUCGAGUUUAGUCAUCCUCCCCUUGAGUCUGGGCUUCCCUGGGACUUGUUUUGACCAAUAGAAUUUGGUGGAGGUGGUGGUAUGUAACUUCUCAAGCUGGACCUGAACAGUUAUGCAGUUUUCAGCUUUGCUGAUUGAAAUGCUCGCUUUUGGGGUCCGGUGCUAGCCGCCAUCGCACUGCAAGCCCUGACAAAGCAUCUGAGCCGCAAAAUUCUGAGCAAAUAAAUGGUCGUCGUUUGAAGCCGCUACGUCUCAGAGUGGAUAACUGAAAGAGUGAUAAGGAAGGUAGACGACGGGGGCGCCUGAGUGGCUCAGUCCAUUGAGCGUCCGACCUUGGCCCAGGCCGUGAUCUUGCAGUUCCCGAGUUCGAGCCCCGCAUCGGGCUCACUGCUGUCACCCUGUCUGCGCAGAGCCUGCUUUGGAUCCUCUGUCCCCCUCUCUCGGCCCCACCCCUGCUUAUGCUCUCUCUCAAAAAAUCAAUGAAAAACAUGAAAAAAAAAAUGGUAGACUAUGGUGCCACACUGUUUACCAGCCAUUAGAUCUGAGCGAAUCAUUUUACUUCUUUGUCCCGGUUUCCUUUUCUGCUUAACCGGGGGAGCCAACCCCCUGUGAUUAUUGUGGGGAUGAAAUAAUGCGUGAGAACCCUGUGGAAUAAUCCCCGGCCUGUCUGAGCUGGUCAGUACUAGAGUAGUAGCAGGACUAAGGGGGAGAAGCUGUGAAGACAUAAAGUAAUUCAACUCUAUUUUUUGUCAAGAAAACUCUGUGAUGGAAUUGUCCAAACGUGGGGUAAGCUGCUUCUGGAUGUGGCGAAACCCGCUUUCCUGGAGAAUUCCGAUCAUGAAUGGUGGCUGUCUGUAGACUUUGGGUAUUGAUGACCCUGUCAACUUUAAGAUUCUAUGUUCUGUCGUGCUGGGGCCAAGUCUUUGAGGAAGGAGCCGCUCUAUGUGUUCGGAAGAAAAAAGAACACUUAAGCUGCGGAGGGCUGAUCAUACUGGCCGAGCACCUGGGAGGAAACAAAGGUGCCGUGAGGCCAUUUGGCUGGAGAGUUUCACAUUGAACUAAGGCUCACACUGGGGAGUCUCCUGGUUGCUCUCGAGGGCAGUGUCAUAGAUUAUUCAUGACAGUCCCCAGCACACACUAGACACUCAACAAAUGCUAAUGGAGGCAGUCUAGAGGUGGCAAUAACCGCAGUCAGCACUAACUUAAGUCCGUUUCAAACAUUUGCUAAUUGUAUUUGCUUU